rnacentral:lncRNA from 1 species
CACCAUUCUAUUUCAUCAAUUUCGUGAGUCUUUAAGUUUGUUUACAAAGUUUAUGUUUUAAAAGUUCAAUUUCGUCAAAACCAAACCCCUUGCUUUUAAGUCUUGUUUUUAGAGUCAAAACCUGUUUUCUUUUGGUCUUUUGAGUCUUUUAAGUUCUAUUUUCGUCCAAAUCACUUAUUAGGUCUAGAAUUGAGUCUUUUUUAUUGUUUCUUGCUGUUUUGAGUGUUUUGAGUUAGUUUUGAGUCUAUAGAGUCUACUUUAGUGUUUUUGAGUCUUAUUUGUGUUGAUUAGCAUCCCUAGUUAAUCCCCGGUCUAGAACGAUCCCUACUUGCUUAAAUACUACAAUUGUCAUCAAUAGGGUUUAAUUUGUGUGUCAACUUAAUUUUCACAUCAGUUUUGAAUACACCCUUAGCCAAAACAAAUUUAGCCAAUCAUACUUAAAGCAAAACAAAGAUUACAUGAAUUAGACAUUGAAAUAUAAGAUAGAAUACACCUAAAAUUGUUCAACAACUCAGAAUGAAGAGCCAAACAAUUGAGUGAAUCUGUCCCUUUUCCUUGCUUGCGGCAGAUUGGGGUUUGGUGGUUUCUGGGCUGUUUCGAUGAUGAAGAAUGGAUUUGGGGGGGGGGUGUAGAAGCACGGCAAGGGGUGUAGGGUGAGUGUGGAAGAGUGUUUGAUGGUUGGAGGGUGGUGGAGAACUCGGCAAAGAGGGUGGAAGAAGGUGGAGCGGCUGUUGUAUUUUCUGGGUGCUAGAAUGGUGUUUUUAGGGUGUUUUGCUGUCUAGGUUGUGUAUGGACGAAUUUCUGUGAUGGAUCAUGAAUGGCUGCCUAGGUUAUGUGUCUAUUUAAAAGGGAAUUCAGGAAUUAAAACCCUAGGUUAAUUAGGUAAACAAAAUUUAAGUCAAAAGCUUCUAGAAAUAAGGAAACAAAUCAGAAAACUAAGGGAGAAUAGGCUAGAGGAUUUGGCAUUAACUUAAAAUAGAUUAGGCAAGUGUUUCAAUGCAAUGAAUCAGGAUGUAACUCUCUUCCUUGCACGGCAAGGUAGAGGAAUGGGCAAGGUGAUAUGCGGCUGUGAUGUAGGAAAGGUUUAGUGUCCUAAAAAGAAAGGGAAAGGGAACUUACGGCAAGGAAAGGGAAGGAAAGGGUAUGUGAGGUGCGGCACUACCUUGAAUGGUGCAAGGAAUCUUUGUUUUAUGUCCUAAAGUGCAUAUGAGGUUCUCAAAGUGGCUGGAACAUAAGUGCUUUUAGGAUUAGGAAAGGUUAAACCAAAAUAGGAAACCUUGGCUUAACUUUCCUACUUCAAUUAGGAAUCCUUAUUGGAUUAGGAAUCUUCAUUCUUCUAGGAAUCCUCAUGUGAUUAGGACUCCAUCUUCAAUUAGGAAUCCUUAUUUCUUCAAGUCUUCAAUUCACCCAUUCCUUUUGCUCCAAAAGCUCCAAAUUACUUCAUUUUGCACACUUUGGCCUAAGAAUCUGAAAACACACAAAAGUGACUUUAAACACUAAAAUAACUAAAGAAACACAACGUAAAAGCA